UACGAAGGGGCUAGCGUUGCUCGGAAUCACUGGGCGUAAAGCGCACGUAGGCGGCUUCUUAAGUCAGGGGUGAAAUCCUGGAGCUCAACUCCAGAACUGCCUUUGAUACUGGGGAGCUUCGAGUCCGGAAGAGGUGAGUGGAACUGCGAGUGUAGAGGUGAAAUUCGUAGAUAUUCGCAAGAACACCAGUGGCGAAGGCGG
rnacentral:rRNA from 1 species